UUGGUUCUUUUUUGGUUUAAAACGUAAUCCAAUGCAUAGCAGUUGAAUUUAAAGAUAUAAAAAUAAAAAGAUAUAAAAAAAUAAAAAAGAUAUAAAAAUAAAGAUAUUUUUAAAGAUAAAGUAUCAUUGCGGAAAGGGACUUUUCUGGAUAGCUUUGAAAACUCGGAGGUGGAGGCAGAAAGUGGCGUUUUCCCAUUGAAACCUGCUGAGAAAUAAUAAGUCUACCAGAUCUGGGUCAACAAAUCCAGAUGAUUCCCCCCUAAACGAUCCAGGAGAUCUAGAGUUUGUCCAGAUUAGAUAAGAUUACAAUGUUUCCGGAACUUCGAAAACCGCAAUAUCGGUGCUGAGAUAGCCAAGAAUGCGUAGGAGUUUUAUGUCCAGCCUUCAAUAUUAGUAUUGCACAUCCCAAAGAGAUGGCAAUUAAUUUGCAAAGAUAGGGCUUAUUCUACAUUUCCUGUUCCAAGAAGGCAACACGACUGCACAUGCUUAGUUGCUUUGUGUUUCAUUGAUUUCAUUGUGAAUACUCUGUUUUCUUUUAAUAUGAAGAAUAAAUGAAGAAUAUGAAAAGCAAACUCAGCAAGAGAAGAAUGAAAAGAACUGCAACAUUUCAACACAUUUCAACAACCAGUAAGCAAACCAUCCCACUAUGAAAAGACCGG